ACUAUGAUGAUGUCCCAUUUUGUGUAGCUCUGUCACGUGAGGAUAAUGCCCAGGAAAUCUGGCUCUUCCUAUCCUUUCAGUCUCAGAUCAACUACCAUGCGACACGGCACAGAACCUGGCUUUUCAAGUGACUUCAAAAUAGACAACACACUGCUAGGAUUACACAAAAAACAUCUUACUGAAUUUGAAGCUGGAACUAUAAGAUGACCACUUGACCUUCUCCUGCUACUACUGAAUCAGCAAAAUGUACUUACUGGGCAGGCAGAUGUGGGAUGUUUGAUACUAGCCAAGCAACUGGGAAGAUUUACACCCAGGAUGUGGAAGAUUAACUCAGCAUCAUUGCUUCCAUGCCUCCUGAAAAGUCUAUAUUUCAGCAAGAAUAAUCCAAGAGCAUGACCACUAAAGUUUCAGG
rnacentral:lncRNA from 1 species